CUUUUCUCAGGAAGUUACUACAGGAUGUGUUCCACCCAAAUGAGGUAGUGAACCUAGAAAGAGGAAGAGAUGUUAUACAAAUGGAGAAUCAACACAGAAAAAAGAUCAAGGGAAGCCCAGGAAGACAACUAUACAGCAGACCAGGAAAGCAAUCAGAACAGGACAACAGAUUUAGAAAAGAGGAUAAGCCUGUGGCCUGGGUCAUCAGAGAGGAAUGCCUUGAACUCUGAGGCAGGAGACACCCUUGAAUGUUGCAGAAUGGCCCCUUCUUCCACAGGGGAAGUUUGUGACCAAACAGUGGCACCAGAAGGCAGACCUAGGGCAUGCAGCACAGCAAUCUUGAGCAGAGAAGACACUUAAUAAGAAGUUUGCAGAAUUUAAAUGAAGAUCCUAAACUACAGAAUUUGAAGUGUGCUUCUGUGGCAGAGACUACUAGAUGUCCGCUCCUCUUAUUCUCAUUUUCUUCUGAACCAAAAGGAUAUCCACUGUUCAGCCACCGGGCAUAAAGACGACAUUGCCCAGCCUGUCUUGAAGCUUUCUGGCUGACAUCAGGAAAGCUGCAACUCUCCAUUAUCACACCAUCUUGAGGAAACAGAUAUUGCCCUCCUGAACUUUGGUAAGAAGCAUAACAGAUGCAGCAGCUCAGGACCGACUACUCCUGGAAAGAACGUUUUUGCAUAGACUCUCCUCCCAGUAAAGCUAAAGGACGCUACUUUUUAAAAAUCUCUAUAAAAUGAUGUCAUUUUCCUUGUAGGUAAUUUUCAUUGUCUAUAUUUGUGUUUCUCUGAAUAUAAUUGGUAGGAACGCCAUUUAAAAUGCUAAAAUAUCUGGUAUGUAUUGAGAGAGAGAAUGAAUAUUAGAGAAGAACUGAGAAUUCAAGUAAAAUGAAAUAUAUUCAGUGGUUAGAUAGCCUUUAUUUUUAUAUUCCUAAAAUUGCUAGAUUGUUUGAAUUGGAAAUAUCUA